CCUACGGGGGGCAGCAGUGAGGAAUAUUGGUCAAUGGGCGGGAGCCUGAACCAGCCAAGUCGCGUGAGGGAAGACGGUCCUAUGGAUUGUAAACCUCUUUAGGCGGGGAGCAAUGCCGGGCACGCGUGCCCGGAGGGAGAGUACCCGCAGAAUAAGCAUCGGCUAACUCCGUGCCAGCAGCCGCGGUAAUACGGAGGAUGCGAGCGUUAUCCGGAUUUAUUGGGUUUAAAGGGGGCGUAGGCGGAUGUUCAAGUCGGCGGUAAAAUGUCCGGGCUCAACCCGGGCCUGCCGUUGAAACUGGGGAGCUUGAGUGAGCGAGAAGUAUGCGGAAUGCGUGGUGUAGCGGUGAAAUGCGUAGAUAUCACGAAGAACUCCGAUUGCGAAGGCAGCAUACCGGCGCGCGACUGACGCUGAGGCACGAAAGCGUGGGGAUCGAACAGGAUUAGAUACCCGAGUAGUC
rnacentral:rRNA from 1 species